rnacentral:rRNA from 1 species
UUGACCUCGGAUCAGGUAGGAAUACCCGCUGAACUUAACAACAGGGAUUGCCCUAGUAACGGCGAGUGAAGCGGCAACAGCUCAAAUUUGAAAUCUGGCUCUCGGGCCCGAGUUGUAAUUUGUAGAGGAUACUUUUGAUGCGGUGCCUUCCGAGUUCCCUGGAACGGGACGCCAUAGAGGGUGAGAGCCCCGUCUGGUUGGAUGCCAAAUCUCUGUAAAGUUCCUUCAACGAGUCGAGUAGUUUGGGAAUGCUGCUCUAAAUGGGAGGUAUAUGUCUUCUAAAGCUAAAUACCGGCCAGAGACCGAUAGCGCACAAGUAGAGUGAUCGAAAGAUGAAAAGCACUUUGAAAAGAGAGUUAAAAAGUACGUGAAAUUGUUGAAAGGGAAGCGUUUAUGACCAGACUUGGGCUUGGUUAAUCAUCUGGGGUUCUCCCCAGUGCACUUUUCCAGUCCAGGCCAGCAUCAGUUUUCCCCGGGGGAUAAAGGCGGCGGGAAUGUGGCUCUCUUCGGGGAGUGUUAUAGCCCACCGUGUAAUACCCUGGGGGGGACUGAGGUUCGCGCAUCUGCAAGGAUGCUGGCGUAAUGGUCAUCAACGA